rnacentral:rRNA from 1 species
CCCUUAGAUGUCCUGGGCCGCACGCGCGUUACACUGAUGCAUUCAACGAGCUUAUAACCUUGGCCGAGAGGCCUGGGCAAUCUUGUUAACGUGCAUCGUGAUAGGGAUAGAUUAUUGAAAUUAUUAAUCUUGAACGAGGAAUUCCUAGUAAACGCAGAUCAUCAAUCUGCAUUGAUUACGUCCCUGCCCUUUGUACACACCGCCCGUCGCUCCUACCGAUUGAAUGGUCCGGUGAAGCGUUCGGACCGUGGCCUUUGGACGGUUCGCCGUCUGUUGGCUGCGGGAAGUUCGUUAAACCUUAUCAUUUAGAGGAAGGAGAAGUCGUAACA